CGGCCGCGCGCCGCGGGGGGAGGAGAUGGUCUGGAGUCCCCCCGCUGCGCCGGGGAUGGGGAGACGGAGGACUGCAGCGCCCCUUGGGGCUUCUGAGGCGCCCAGGUAACCUCACCUGGCCGCCAGUCUCCCGCAGGAGGAACAGACACGUUGGCCUGUGGCAAGGUGGAAACAUCAGGGCAGAAGAACAUAACUGAUAAUAGCUGUUCACACCUAAGUAGCCAGGAAGCAGAGAGAAAUGGAGACCAGCCUACGAGGACACAUUCCUAGUGACCUUCUUCCCAACUUUGGGUGUCCACCAAUUCACAAGAACACCAUUAAUUACGAAUUCAUCAACAAAUCAAUUCAUCAAUUAAGUUAAAGCUCCCAUGUGCAAUCACUUCCCUACAUCCUCCCGUCUGAACAUCCUC
rnacentral:lncRNA from 1 species